UACUGCUCAGUAACACGUGGACAACCUACCCUUAGGUCGGGGAUAAACCCGGGAAACUGGGUAUAAUACCCGAUAGAUCUCGACUGCUGGAAUGCAUCGAGAUCGAAAGCUCCGGCGCCUAAGGAUGGGUCUGCGGCCUAUCAGGUAGUAGUGGGUGUAGCGUACCUACUAGCCUACGACGGGUGCGGGUUGUGAGAGCAAGAGCCCGGAGAUGGAUUCUGAGACACGAAUCCAGGCCCUACGGGGUGCAGCAGGCGCGAAAACUUUACAAUGCUGGAAACAGCGAUAAGGGGACCUCGAGUGCCAGGUUACAAAUCUGGCUGUCGUGAUGCCUAAAAAGCAUUGCAUAGCAAGGGCCGGGCAAGACCGGUGCCAGCCGCCGCGGUAACACCGGCGGCUCGAGUGGUAACCGUUAUUAUUGGGUCUAAAGGGUCUGUAGCCGGCCGGAUAAGUCUCUUGGGAAAUCCAGCAGCUCAACUGUUGGGCUUUCAGGAGAUACUGUCUGGCUCGAGGCCGGGAGAGGUGAGAGGUACUUCAGGGGUAGGGGUGAAAUCUUGUAAUCCUUGAAGGACCACCAGUGGCGAAGGCGUCUCACCAGAACGGACCUGACGGCAAGGGACGAAAGCUAGGGGCACGAACCGGAUUAGAUACCCGGGUAGUCCUAGCCGUAAACGAUACUCGCUAGGUGUCGGCCACGGUGCGACCGUUGUCGGUGCCGUAGGGAAGCCGUGAAGCGAGCCACCUGGGAAGUACGGCCGCAAG
rnacentral:rRNA from 1 species